UACGAAGGGAGCUAGCGUUGUUCGGAAUCACUGUGCGUAAAACGCACGUAGGCGGACUUGUCAGUCAGGGGUGAAAUCCUGAGGCUCAACAUCAGAACUGCCUCCGAUACAGCAAGUCUCGAGUCCGGGAGAGGUGAGUGGAAUUCCUAGUGUAGAGGUGAAAUUCGUAGAUAUUAGGAAGAACACCAGUGGCGAAGGCGGCUCACGGGCCCGGUAAUGACUAUGAGGUGCGAAAGCGUGGGGAGCAAACAGG
rnacentral:rRNA from 1 species